rnacentral:tRNA from 1 species
GGAGAGAUGUCUGAGCGGUUGAAGGAGCUCGCCUGGAAAGCGGGUGUAGGGGAAACUCUACCGGGGGUUCGAAUCCCCCUCUCUCCG